UUUGGUUCUCAUUAGUUCUACCAAUAACUUGGGUCUUGAACUUUCAACACUUCAUUAACUGAAAGAAGAGGCUGGGGUAAUCACUGUUGCAAUAGCAUGACUGCUAUUUUUUUUUCUCUUGCAGCCACCAACUGAUAGCUACAAAACUGCACUUCCUAGAGACAUGUUGAGAGAGGUUCAAGGCUCAACAGAACUUACGCUUUUGCUGUCAGAGCUCCACCACCAGAUAAGCACAACUGAGCGAAUGACACCAACCAGUGCCAAGAGAAGCAGGACUACCCAACUACACUUUGCCUAAAUUCCUGAUUCACAGAAUUAUAAGCAAAUAAAAUGAUUGUUUAAA
rnacentral:lncRNA from 1 species